rnacentral:rRNA from 1 species
UACGGGGGGGGCAAGCGUUGUUCGGAAUUACUGGGCGUAAAGGGUUCGUAGGUGGCUCGCUAAGUCAGACGUGAAAUCCCUCAGCUUAACUGGGGAACUGCGUCUGAGACUGGCAAGCUCGAGUGCAGGAGAGGAACGCGGAAUUCCAGGUGUAGCGGUGAAAUGCGUAGAUAUCUGGAGGAACACCGGUGGCGAAGGCGGCGCUCUGGACCGAGACUGACGCUGAGGCGCGAAAGCGUGGGGAGCAAACAGG